GUCUUCACCCAAUCUCAUCUGAUAUUGGAAGAUUAGC
rnacentral:rRNA from 1 species